ACAUUUACAGCUGCUGUGGUGCCAGUGAAGAGCUGAUGCCCCAUGCCAGGGAGAUCACUCUAGUCCUUCCAGGUUCCAACAACGUCUAGAAUUGCAUUUAAAACCGGCACUCGGGUCAAGGGACCUGAGCCCUAGGACCAUGCCUCAGGACUACCUGGUAUGAUGACUCCUUGCUGUCCCCAGUCCACCUGGCCGUGCUGCUGCUCCAGUUUCAACUGUUCUGCCUGCGGCUAUGGAACCCUGACCUGUUCACCGGACGUGCUUGUUGCACCCUCGACAACUACUAUGAUUAUUAUUAUUUGACCAUGCUGGUCAUUUAUGAACAUUUUAACAUUUUGACCAUGUUCUGUUAUAAUAUCCACCCUGCACAGCCAGAAGAGGACUGGCCACCCCUCAUAGCCUGGUUCCUCUCUAGGUUUCUUCCUAGGUUUUUGGCCUUUCUAGGGAGUUUUUCCUAGGGAGUUUUUCCUAGCCACCGUGCUUCUUUCACAUGCUUUGCUUGCUGUUUGGGGUUUUAGGCUGGGUUUCUGUACAGCACUUUGAGAAUAUCAGCUGAUGUACGAAGGGCUAUAUAAAAAUAAAUUUGAUUUGAUUUGAAAUUUGAAUAAAG
rnacentral:lncRNA from 1 species